rnacentral:rRNA from 1 species
AUUGAACGCUGGCGGCAGGCUUAACACAUGCAAGUCGAGCGAGCGGCGGACGGGUGAGUAAUGUCUGGGCAACUGCCUGAUGGAGGGGGAUAACUACUGGAAACGGUAGCUACUACCGCAUACCAUCAGAUGUGCCCAGAUGGGAUUAGCUAGUUGGUGGGGUAAUGGCUCACCUAGGCGACGAUCCCUAGCUGGUCUGAGAGGAGGACCAGCAACACUGGAACUGAGACACGGUCCAGACUCCUACGGGAGGCAGCAGGGGGGAAUAUUGCACAAUGGGCGAAAGCCUGAUUCAGCCAUGCCGCGUGUGUGAAGAAGGUCUUCGGGUUGUAAAGCACUUUAAGCGAGGAGGCGUUACUCGCAGAAGAAGCACCGGCUAACUCCGUGCCAGCAGCCGCGGUAAUAC